rnacentral:SRP_RNA from 1 species
UCGCGCUAGAUGGGGCGUUAGCGGUGCCCUGUACCCGCAAUCCGCUAUAGCGGGGUCGAAUUCCCCACCGAGGGGGUGCGUCAUCGGGUCUGCUCCGAACGCAUUGGCGUUGACGACUGGGUCCCGCGCAGCUCGGGCCCGUGAACCCCGUCAGGUCCGGAAGGAAGCAGCGGUAAGCGGUUUCCCGGGGGUGCCGCGGAGCCACCUGGUCUGAGCCGGGCGGUCGGGUGAGCGCUGGUGGCGUGCCAACGACGUGGGGUGCGCGA